GCCCGAGUGGUGAAAUGGUAGACACAGCGGACUUAAAAUCCGCCGGCGGGAAACUGCUGUACCGGUUCGAGUCCGGUCUCGGGCA
rnacentral:tRNA from 1 species